UACAGAGGUGGCAAGCGUUGUUCGGAAUUACUGGGCGUAAAGGGCGCGUAGGCGGUCUUUUAAGUCUUGUGUGAAAUCCCUCGGCUCAACUGAGGAACUGCACGGGAUACUGGAAGACUUGGAGUUCGGGAGAGGGAAGCGGGAAUUCCGGGUGUAGGCGGUGAAAUGCGUAGAUAUCCGGAGGAACACCGGUGGCGAAGGCGGCUCACUGGCCCGGUACGUGACGCUGAGGUGCGAAAGCGUGGGGAGCAACAGG
rnacentral:rRNA from 1 species